CUCCAGUGAUCCUGCCGGGACCCGACUGCUAUCGGAUUGGGAUUUAGCCAUGUUAGUUGUGCGUUCCUGGCUACAGGCGCGCAGCGUACGGCUCAGUAACACGUAGUCAACCUGCCCUGGAGACAAGGACAACCCCGGGAAACUGGGAUUAAUCCUUGAUAGGUCAUCUCAUCUGGAAGGAGAGAUGGCUUAAAGGGGUACGCGGGCUUCUUCCGCGAAUUCGCUCCAGGAUGGGACUGCGUCCGAUCAGGCUGUUGGCGGGGUAAUGGCCCACCAAACCUGUAACCGGUACGGGCCUUGAGAGAGGUGGCCCGGAGAUGGACACUGAGAGAAGGGUCCAGGUCCUACGGGGCGCAGCAGGCGCGAAACCUUCGCAAUGCGCGAAAGCGUGACGAGGUUAAUCCGAGUGACUCCCGCUGAGGGGGUCUUUUGUCAGCUGUAAAUAGGCAGGCGAAUAAGGGGAGGGCAAGCCUGGUGUCAGCCGCCGCGGUAAUACCAGCUCCUCGAGUGGUCGGGGCGAUUAUUGGGCCUAAAGCAUCCGUAGCCGGUUCCGUAGGUCCUCUGUUAAAUCCAACCGCUCAACGGUUGACCUGCAGAGGAUACCGCGGGACUAGGAGGCGGGAGAGGCGGACGGUACUCCGCGUGUAGGGGUAAAAUCCUUUGAUCCGCGGAAGACCACCAGUGGCGAAGGCGGUCCGCCAGAACGCGCUCGACGGUGAGGGAUGAAAGCUGGGGGAGCGAACCGGAUUAGAUACCCGGGUAGUCCCAGCCGUAAACGAUGCUAGCUAGAUGAUUCAUUCGCAAGUCGCGAAUGAAGUGUCGCAGGGAAGCCGUUAAGCUAGCCGCCUGGGGAGUACGGUCGCAAGACUGAAACUUAAAGGAAUUGGCGGGGGGACCA
rnacentral:rRNA from 1 species